UCACGGAGAGUUUGAUCC
rnacentral:rRNA from 1 species